rnacentral:rRNA from 1 species
AUUGAACGCUGGCGGAAUGCUUUACACAUGCAAGUCGAGCGGCAGCGCGGGGGCAACCCUGGCGGCGAGCGGCGAACGGGUGAGUAACAUAUCGGAACGUACCCAGUCGUGGGGGAUAACUAUCCGAAAGGAUAGCUAAUACCGCAUACGUCCUGAGGGAGAAAGCGGGGGAUCGCAAGACCUCGCGCGAUUGGAGCGGCCGAUAUCGGAUUAGCUAGUUGGUGGGGUAAAGGCUCACCAAGGCGACGAUCCGUAGCGGGUCUGAGAGGACGACCCGCCACACUGGAACUGAGACACGGUCCAGACUCCUACGGGAGGCAGCAGUGGGGAAUUUUGGACAAUGGGGGCAACCCUGAUCCAGCCAUUCCGCGUGAGUGAAGAAGGCCUCGGUUGUAAGACGUCUUUCUAGCAGG